rnacentral:tRNA from 1 species
GGGGCGCUAGCUCAUCAGGUAGAGCAACUGCCUUUUAAGCAGUUGGUGCGGAGUUCGAGUCUCCGGCGCCUCACCA